rnacentral:lncRNA from 1 species
UCUAACAUUGUGCAACCAAUGGUAUUUCCAGUAAUGUAGCAAUUUAUAUAAUAGACAGCAUUAGUAAACCAUUAUUUUAUUUAAUAUCAUCUUCAUUCGAAAUUAGUAUAUUCCGUAACAAACUUAAAUUAGCCAAAGUUAAUCCAAUUCUCAAAAAAGGUGAUUGCAAUAAUGUUUCCAACUACCGACCAAUUUCUCUUUUCCAUUACUUCAAAAGUAUUUGAGAGAAUAAUAUAUAACAGAGUAAACAAUUACUUUACAUUAAACAAUUUAUUAAACAAAAAUCAGUUUGGAUUUCAAACUAGGUGUUCUACUGAACAUGCUAUUAUUAAACUUGCUGACAAAAUAUUCAAGUCGUUUGAUAGUGAUGAGCUGGUAUUAGGAGUUUUUGUUGAUCUUUCUAAGGCCUUUGAUACGGUUGAUCACAGUAUUUUACUUUCCAAGCUAAAAUACUACGGUAUAAUAGGCUCAACAUUUAAGUAGAUUCAAAGCUAUUUGUCUAACAGAAAGCAAUUUGUAUUACUAGAAAAGUCAGGAGCCCUCGAUAUUAGUUCCUCAGGGUUCAGUCCUAGGUCAAUUAUUGUUCUUAGUUUAUAUUAACGAUAUGCAUAAAGCAUCCCAAAAAAUAUCUACAAUUAUGUAUGCUGACGAUACAAAUUUAUUUUUUAAUCAUCCUAAUGCAAAGACUUUGUUUGAAACUAUGAAUAUUGAACUUUAAAAAAUCAACCUCUGGUUCAAAGCAAAUAAAUUAUCCCUAAAUUGUCAAAAAACUAGUUUUACCCUUUUUCAUAAAAAAAAAAAAAAAAAUCAAUUAAUCUCCCUUUAAAGCUUCCUAAACUGCUUAUUAAUAAAAAUGAAAUCAAACGUGAAAAUGUACAAAAUUUUUGGGAGUGCUUUUUGAUAAAAAUUUGUCAUGGAGAAACCAUAUUGGUCUCCUUGAAACAAAAAUGUCUUCUGUUAGGCGUUUUGUAAAAGUCGAGGCCUUUUCUCGAUAGUAAAUCGCAUAAUAUGCUUUACUUUAGUCUUAUACAUUAGACAAAUGUACAAGACUAAAGUAAAGCAUAUUAUUGCAAAGCUUGAAAAACCAUGCAUGCAAAGUAAUAAACUAUUUAAAUAGGUUAGUAAACUCGGCCCCAGUGAUGAAAAGCACGAUGGUUCUAGAUAUUGAGAAGCUUAACACAUUUCAAAUAUUAAUUUUUAUGUAUAAGUAUAAGAACAACCUAUACGUUUAUAUAUCACUUUUAAAAAAAUAUAAUUUGCGUUCAAAAACCAAGUACAACUAUCACUUAGGGAAAAUUAAUUCACAUCAACCAAAUUUUUAAAUUACAAACCGUGGCCCAUCAACAUGGAAUCAUUUUCAAAAUAAAAAUAUUAAAGACCUAAAGAGCAUUUCAUCGUUUAAAGGGGAAACUAAAAUGCAUCUUCUUAAUUCCUGACAUUUAUAUUUUUUUAAUUUACAGUAUUUUUUUUUUUUUUUUUUUUUUUCCGUCUUUCUUAUUUUUCUUGUUUUUAAUUUUUUUUGUUUUUGAAUUUGUUACACUAACAAAUAUGAGCUUUGUUUUUAUUGAAUUUUUAUUUUAUUUUUAAAAAUUAAAUUGUUUUUAUAACGAGUGACUAUAGGGGCUUUAUAAAAAGGUUGUGAUGUUAAACACAUUAUCCUUACCUUCUUUGAGUCCCUGACUGAUUAGAACAGAAUAUAUCUAAUAUAAAAUUAAAAAUUAUCAAAAAACGUUUUUUAUCAUGUUUAUCUUUAUGACGUGUAUUUUAUGUAUUUUUUACAUGGUUAUAUGAAAAUUGUUAUUGUAACUGUUUAAUCAGCAAAAUAAAAGUAUAUAUAAUAAUAAAUAAUAAUAUUAUAUUGUGGCUAAUGAAGCAGCUAAAAAGUCCUGUAAGUUCUUCGAUAAUAUUGUAUGAGCGAUUAAAAGUAAUAUAGUAAUAUUAAUAGUAAUAUUAAUAGUAAGUAAGUACAGUAACAAUGUAUUUUGAUAAUUCUUUUUUUUUAGUUAUUGCUACUAAAAUAGCAGUUUCAAAAAAGGAGCAGUAGUUUCAAAAAAGUAUCAGUGUCAACAUUUUUUUAAACUAUUUUUUAAAUUGUUUUUUCUGUUUGGUUUUUAACAACGCUAUAAAACGUCUAUAGUUAACUUUUAUCUUCCUAAUUUUUCUACUUUUACUAAAAGUAGAAAAUUUAUGAAAAAUAGUUAUUUCUUAAAGUGCAUAAACUUUCUCUAGAAGUUUUAGAGAAAGUUUAUGCAGUUUUUAUACAUUUUAAGUCGUAACUACUUUUUAAAUAACUAAAUAAAAUUAUUAUUGUUUGUUUAUAUUAAGACCUAACAUCUAUUUGUUUAUGAUAGAUGUUAUAUUGAUCGAAUAGCAAUGUUAUAAUAUUUAUACUUUUAGUACAGUCAGUACCAAUUAAAAAUUGUGAGGUUCAAAUAUUUAUAUAAUGAUCUUCAGUUAAAAUGUAGGCUUUUAUGUAAACUAAAAAAUAUUUUUAAAAAUUUAAGUAUUAUUCAUACUCCUAUAUGAUAACCACUAAAAAGAAAAUAAAUUUACUUAUAUCUGAUAUGAUAGAUUAUUAUAUUGUAUCAUUUAUUUUCUCUUUAAUAGAAAAGUUAACAUGGUUUGAAUAAUAAUAUAUAUAGUUAUAUUAUAUAAUUUUCUGAAAUCCGCGCAAAUAUAUUUUUUAUUGUUAAUUACGUUUUGUGUGUAUAAUUUCAUUUAAUAUUUUAUGUGCAGUCCAUUCAGUUGCAAUAACAAUUAAAGCAGCAGGAAACAGCCAAGUACACAUACAAGUGAUUGUUAUGAGGAUUGCAAAAGUUUUAAAUAUCAGAAACUGAAGAAGACAUUGAUAAUUAGCAGAUAUCAAAAAAGCGCAAAAGCACUGAUUAUACAACAAUUUUAAAGUUAAACCAUCACCACUUCCACAGCCACCUUGUCUCAAGCAUUCAAUCGCAUUCUAAGAUAUCUUUAUUCAAAUUAAGUAUGACUACUUUACCAAAACACUCUAGAAUAGACCAAUCAACUAACUCAUCAGUACUUGCAAAGUGUCCGUUUCUGUGAGCCCAAAUAUUAAGUUCUAAAAUACCAUUAUCCACUACUAUAUAAAGCCCAAACUAAUGGAUUGAUCAAGUAAUACUUAAUUUUUACCUUGAAUUGCGUGUUAGUUCAUGUACAUGAUUUUGAUAUAUAUAUUUUAAUUUAUAUGUUUGUUGAUUAGUUUUUAACUUUAGGAAUUGUAAGAAUUACAAUUUUUUUUACAUGUUUAUUUAUAUUGUAGUGAAACUGUCGGUAUCUCCACAACUUUUCAAUUAAAUAGAAAGUUUCAAUUAAACAGGAUACUGAAUGUGCCUACUGCUCCUCAAGCCAAUGGAUAAUGGGA